rnacentral:rRNA from 1 species
CAGUCGCCGCGGGAAUACGUAGGUGGCAGGCGUUGUCCGGAAUUAUUGGGCGUAAAGGGCUCGCAGGCGGUUUCUUAAGUCUGAUGUGAAAGCCCCCGGCUCAACCGGGGAGGGUCAUUGGAAACUGGGAAACUUGAGUGCAGAAGAGGAGAGUGGAAUUCCACGUGUAGCGGUGAAAUGCGUAGAGAUGUGGAGGAAUACCAGUGGCGAAGGCGACUCUCUGGACUGUAACUGACGCUGAGGAGCGAAAGCGUGGGGAGCGAACAGGAUUAGAUACCCCAGUAGUCCCUGUCUCUUAUAC